rnacentral:rRNA from 1 species
CCUACGGGUGGCAGCAGUGGGGAAUAUUGCACAAUGGACGCAACUCUGAUGCAGCGACGCCGCGUGAAGGAAGAAGGCUCUCGGGUUGUAAACUUCUUUCAAUGGGGAAGAAAAUAAGACGGUCCCCCUUGAAUAAGCCAGAGCUAACUACGUCCCAGCCCCCGCGGGAAUACGUAGGUGGCACGCGUUGUCCGUAUGGACUGGGUGGACAGGGCGUGCAGGCGGGCAGACAAGUCGGAUGUGAACUCCGCGGGCUCAACCUGCGAACUGCAUUUGACACUGGGUCGAUGGAGUAUUGGAGGGGUGAGCGGAAUUCUGAGUGUAGCGGUGAAAUGCGUAGAUAUGAGGAGGAACACCGGUGGCGAAGGCGGAUGACUGGA